GGGUUCAUACGUUGGUCGGGCUUUUGGGUCUGUACUGGCGUAAUGGAUUCCUACCUUCUGAAUAACCGGCAUGCCAUUAACUUGGUGCGCCGGGGAAGCAGGACUGUUACCUUGAAAAAUUAGAGUGCUUAAAGCAGGCUAUCGCCUGAAUACAUUAGCAUGGAAUAAUGAAAUAGGACGGCAUGGUUCUAUUUUGUUGGUUUCUAGGAUCACCGUAAUGAU
rnacentral:rRNA from 1 species